rnacentral:rRNA from 1 species
UGGGGAAUAUUGGACAAUGGGCGCAAGCCUGAUCCAGCAAUGCCGCGUGUGUGAAGAAGGCCUUCGGGUUGUAAAGCACUUUUAUCAGGAACGAAAAGCGUGGGGUUAAUACCUUUACGUGCUGACGGUACCUGAGGAAUAAGCACCGGCUAACUUCGUGCCAGCAGCCGCGGUAAUACGAAGGGUGCAAGCGUUAAUCGGAAUUACUGGGCGUAAAGCGUGCGUAGAUGGUUUGUUAAGUCGGAUGUGAAAGCCCCGGGCUCAACCUGGGAACUGCAUCCGAUACUGGCAGACUAGAGUGUGGUAGAGGAUGGCGGAAUUCCCGGUGUAGCGGUGAAAUGCGUAGAGAUCGGGAGGAACAUCCGUGGCGAAGGCGGCCAUCUGGACCAACACUGACGUUGAGGCACGAAAGCGUGGGGAGCAAACAGGAUUAGAUACCCAAGUAGUCCCUGAGCGGGCUGGCAAGGCGCAU